rnacentral:rRNA from 1 species
AAACUUUCAACAACGGAUCUCUUGGCUCUGGCAUCGAUGAAGAACGCAGCGAAAUGCGAUAAGUAAUGUGAAUUGCGGAAUUCAGUGAAUCAUCGAAUCUUUGAACGCACAUUGCGCCC